ensembl:processed_transcript BC065397 cDNA sequence BC065397
GUUGCGCAACUCGCGGACCUGGGGAGAGAGGAAAAAAAAACACCAACGCCCCCCCAAAAAAACCAAAGGCAAAGGAAUGGUGAAGGUUUUGAGGUACGUGUGUUGGCCCCUCAGGUUUAUGUAGUGGUUCUGUGCUGUCCGGAGUGAGAAGUUUUAAGCCUGUUCCCCCCUGAGGGAGCUCACCUGUGUGACGGACCUUACCUGAAGAUCAGGCCUAGUCUCCGAUGCAGGCGCCUAGGGAGACUCUCCAGCCACAAGGGCGGCUCAAGGUGUCUCUCCAGGCAUACAUCUACAUGUGUGUAUGUGACAUGUGUUCAGAAGUCAGAGGCACUGGGUCCUCCGGAGCUGGAAUUCCUGGCUGUUCUGAGACACCUGA